ACGGAAGGCAGCAGUGAGGAAUAUUGGUCAAUGGACGGAAGUCUGAACCAGCCAAGUCGCGUGAAGGAAGAAGGUAUUAUGUAUCGUAAACUUCUUUAGACGUAGAGAAAUAAGCGGGUCGUGACCCGUGAUGCUAGUAUACGUAGAAUAAGGAUCGGCUAACUCCGUGCCAGCAGCCGCGGUAAUACGGAGGAUCCGAGCGUUAUCCGGAUUUAUUGGGUUUAAAGGGUGCGCAGGCGGGCUGCUAAGUCUCCGGUGAAAUGUCAGGGCUCAACCUUGGAAUUGCCGGAGAUACUGGCGGCCUUGAGAGUGGCGGAGGUAUCCGGAAUGUGUGGUGUAGCGGUGAAAUGCAUAGAUAUCACACAGAACACCGAUUGCGAAGGCAGGAUACCAUACCAUAUCUGACGCUCAGGCACGAAAGCGUGGGGAUCGAACAGGAUUAGAUACCCUGGUA
rnacentral:rRNA from 1 species